rnacentral:lncRNA from 1 species
UUUCCCUUUAUCCCGAAUUUCUCCCGGGAUUUUCCCUCCCUUUAUCCCGACUUUCUUCCCUCCCGCUUUUCCUCCCUUAAUCCCGGAUUUUUCCUCCCUUUAUCUCGAAUUUCCCUCCCGAUUUUCCCCUCCCUUAAUCCCGAAUUUUUCUCCCGAUUUUGCCCUCCCUUAAUCCCGAAUUUUUUCCCUUUUUCCCCAAUUUCUGCCCCGGAUUUUCCCUCCCUUAAUCCCGAAUUUCCCUCCCGAUUUUCCCCUCCCUCAUUCCCGAAUUUUUCCCCUUUAUCCCGAAUUUCUCCCGGAAUUUUCCCUCCCUUUAUCCCGACUUUCUUCCCUCCCGCUUUUCCUCCCUUUUUCCCCGAUUUCCAUCCCGGUUUUCCUCCCUCAUUCCCGGUUUCCUUUCCCGGUUUCCCUCCUUUUAUCCCGGUUUUCCCUCUCUCUUUUCCCGCCCUCAUUCCCGGUUUCCUUUCCCAAUUUUCCUUUCUUUAUCCCGGUUUUCCCUCUCUCAUUCCCGCUUUUCCCUUUCCCCAUUCCCGGUUUCCUUUCCCGGUUUUCCCUCUCUCAUUCCCGGUUUCCCCUCCCGGUUUUCUUUCCCGGUUUCCUCCCUUUAUCCCGGUUUUCCCGCCCCUCUCUCAUUCCCGGUUUCCCCUCCCGGUUUUCCCUCUCUCAUUCCCAAAUUUCCCGCCGUCAUUCCCGGUUUCCCUUCCCGGUUUCCUUUUCCGGUUUCCCUCCUUUUAUCCCGGUUUUCCCGCCCCUCCCUCAUUCCCGGUUUCCUUUCCCACUUUUCCUUUCUUUAUCCCGGUUUUCCCUCUCUCAUUCCCGCUUUUCCCUCAUUCCCGGUUUCCUUUCCCGGUUUUCCCUCUCUCAUUCCCAAAUUUCCAGCCCCUCAUUCCCGGUUUCCUUUCCCGCUUUCCCUCCUUUUAUCCCGGUUUUCCCUCAUUCCCGGUUUCCUCCCUUUAUCCCGGUUUUCCCUCUCUCUUUUCCCGCCCCUCAUUCCCGGUUUCCUUUCCCACUUUUCCUUUCUUUAUCCCGGUUUUCCCGCCCUCAUUCCCGGUUUCCCCUCAUUCCCGGUUUUCCCUCUCUCAUUCCCUUUUCCCGCCCCUCCCUCAUUUCCGGUUUCCCCUCCCGGUUUCCUCCCUUUAUCCCGGUUUUCCCGCCCCUCUCUCAUUCCCGGUUUCCCCUCUCUCAUUCCCAAAUUUCCCGCCCCUCAUUCCCGGUUUCCUUUCCCGGUUUCCUCCCUUUAUCCCGGUUUUCCCUCUCUCUUUUCCCGCCCUCAUUCCCGGUUUCCUUUCCCUCUUUUCCUUUCUUUAUCCCGGUUUUCCCUCUCUCAUUCCCUUUUCCCGCCCCUCCCUCAUUCCCGGUUUCCUUUCCCGGUUUCCCUUCUUUUAUCCCGCCCUCUUUUCCCGCCCUCAUUCCCGGUUUUCCCUCCCGGUUUUCCCUCUCUCUUUUCCCGCCCCUCAUUCCCGGUUUCCUUUCCCACUUUUCCUUUCUUUAUCCCGGUUUUCCCUCUCUCAUUCCCAAAUUUCCCGNACCUGGGCCAGAACCCAGACCUUCAACCUCGAGGGGUCUCUGAUCUACGAGGACUCGAUCGUGCUGCAGUCGGUGUUCACCAGCGUGCGGCAGAAGGUGGAGAAGGAGGAGGAGAGCGACGGCGAGGACAGCGAGGAGGAGGAGGAGGCCGAGGAGGAAGGCUCCGAGUCUGAGGGUGCGCUGGGGGUCCGUGGGGUCGGUGGGUGGGAUCGAUCGGAUGGGAUUAAUGGGAUCGAUAAGAUCGAUCAGGUGGGAUCGAUGGGAUCGAUGGGAUUGAUUGGAUGGCAUCAGUGGGAUCGAUAAGAUUGAUCGGAUGGGAUCAAUGGGAGCGAUGGGAUCAAUGGGGGUCAGUGGAAUCAAUGGGAUUGGAUGGGAUCGAUGGGAUUGAUGGGAUGGGAUCAAUGGGAUUGGAUGGGAUCGAUGGGGGUCAAUGGGAUCAAUGGGAUUGGUCGGAUGGGAUCAGUGGGAUCAAUGGGAUCGAUGGGAUGGGAUCGAUAAGAUUGUAUGGGGUCAAUGGAAUUGGAUCGAUGGGAUCGAUGGGAUGGGAUCGAUAAGAUUGAUCGGAUGGGAUCAAUGGGGGUCAAUAGGAUCAAUGGGAUUGGAUGGGGUCAAUGGGAUCAAUGGGAUCGAUGGAAUCCAUGGGAUUGAUGGGAUGGGAUCAAUGGGAUCAGUAGGAUCAAUGGGAUGGGAUCAAUGGGAUUGAUGGGAUCGAUGGGAUGGGAUCAAUGGGAUGGGAUCAAUGGGAUUGAUCGGAUGGGAUCAAUGGGAUCAAUGGGAUCGAUGGGAUUGAUCUGAUGGGAUCAAUGGGAUUGAUGGGAUGGGAUGGGAUCAAUGGGAUUGAUCGGAUGGGGUCAAUGGGAUGGAUGGGAUUGAUCUGAUGGGAUCAGUGGGAUCAAUGGGAUUGAUCAGAUAGGAUCAAUGAGAUCAAUGGGAUUGAUGGGAUGGGAUCAAUGGGAUCGAUGGGAUGGGAUCGAUGGGAUCAAUGGGAUUGGAUGCGGGUCAAUGGAAUCAAUGGGAUUGGAUGGGGUUAAUGGGAUUGGAUCAAUGGGAUCGAUAAGAUUGAUCAGAUGGGAUCAAUGGGGGUCAAUAGGAUCAGUGGGAUUGAUGGGAUGGGAUCGAUGGGAUUGAUGGGAUGGGAUUGAUGGGAUUGAUUGGAUGAGAUCAAUGGGAUUGGAUGGGUUUAAUAGGAUGGGAUGGGAUCAAUGGGAUCAAUGGGAUCAGUGGGAUCGAUGGGAUUGAUGGGAUGGGGUCAAUGGGAUCGAUGGGAUGGGGUCAAUGGGAUCGAUGGGAUUGAUGAGAUCGA